rnacentral:lncRNA from 1 species
CUGCACGUUAGCACUCCGACGCCCAAGUCAACAAAGUCACAAUAAUAUCAAGGUAAGAAUGAAUAGAUUCAGAGUAUUUUACCUGGCUGCUUACUCCUAUAUUUAUAGGCAUCAGACGUGAGUUAAGGGCCAUAACUACCUGUAAACGCUACUGGCCCAUAAUCCCGCAAAACUCGCCCACUAAGCGUAACCGUUGCUAACGUGCCCGUGAUAUUCGCCUUACUAAUCCAAUAACCCUGUUACACUAUGCCCACACCUCUUCUUUACUCAACCGGCCGACCUACCAGCCUUCCUGAUGAACUUCCAAGCCUUCCCGAUCAACUCCCAUUAUUUCUCUUACCAACUUAGCAUCUUUUUUAUUCAUGACCGACCACCCCUUACACUACAUUUGUCAAUAUUUUAAUA